rnacentral:lncRNA from 1 species
GUUGGGAGUAGAGGAAAGCAGCAGGAAGGAGGUGACCCUGAAGAACUAACACUGCUAUUGAGACGGAUCUAACAACGCAGUCUGGGCUCCGUGCCAAAGGCUGGUAUUUCACAGCAGCGACCGCCUUACAGAUGAGCUGUGGGAAGCAGGAGGGAGACUCUCUUAGGGUGCCACUACUAUGGAGACACAGCUGGGCUGAACAAGAUUUGCUUCAAACGACAACAAGAGAGACAGAAAGUGUCUGGUUCGACCGCUGCCCAAGCAGGCAGUAACCAGAAGAGCUAGCAGCCAAUCCGGCCAUGCUGCACUGUUCGAAACCAGCUCUACAUCCCAGCCAAUCAGUGACAUCACUGGCCUGGAAAGUAGCGUUUUCUGUAGAUGUCAGCUUCUGUCUGGUGUGAUGCUCCAUUCUUCUGGUGAUGUCACGUGCAGCACUGAGUAAUACUGGAAAACUGAAGAGGUCUCUUAGAAUAAGUCUGCAGUCGCGCGGCUGGUGGUGUGGCACAGACGGAGCAAGGGUUACAUCAAGGCUGUUCUCUGGACCGUGCAAACAGUCUAGACCAAUGACCUGCAGCAUCAUGCCCUUUGAAGAAGAGGCAAGUUCGGUCACGACGAAGAAAAAUCAAGGCGUACCCCUUUUAACAAUAGGGAGCAGCUCGUGGCUGCAAAGAGGUAAGCAGGGGUAAGCAAAAAAGGCAUCUGCUUCCAUGGUUACAGGCCAAGCAUGGGAACCUUGCUUUUGAAGAGAGACGGUUCUCAGGCUCCCUCACAGGCUAUGUCAUGCAUUAUAAGCAAAGGCAGGUUGAGCUGAAAUCCGCAGAGUUAUUUCAGAGUAAAAUGAUACGCGAGCACAUGGCUGUUAGCAAAAAAAAAAAAAAAAAAAGAAAAGUCACAUGACUGUUUAGAAGCAGGCUUGCACUGUUUCCGAGUCG